rnacentral:rRNA from 1 species
UACAGAGGUCUCGAGCGUUGUUCGGAUUCAUUGGGCGUAAAGGGUGCGUAGGUGGCGCUGUAAGUCGGGUGUGAAAUCCUGAGGCUUAACCUCGGAACUGCAUUCGAUACUGCGGUGCUUGAGGACUGGAGAGGAGACUGGAAUUCAUGGUGUAGCAGUGAAAUGCGUAGAGAUCAUGAGGAAGACCAGUGGCGGAGGCGGGUCUCUGGACAGUUCCUGACACUGAGGCACGAAGGCCAGGGGAGCAAACGGG